AAAAAAAAAAAACCUAAAAUAUUUAAAAGUGCUUUAUUUUAAAAGUUUCCAAAUGGAACACAAAAUUAUUUGAAGUGUCCUUUAAAGUUAUUGCUAAAAUCAGCUAAACCUACAAGUAGAAUUGAACUUACAAGUUAAACUCAAAAACUUAAUGAUAAAGUAAGAAUUUGAAUUGGUAACUUAAAGAAACCCAACAUUAAUUUUGGAAAUAAAAGAGAAUAUCUAAAAAGUAUUUUGUGUCUAUGAAAGUCACCCUUCUAGUCAGCUGAAAUUGCUCAAUUGGGAGAGCAUUAGACUAAAAUGUCACCCUUAAGUUCAACAAAAAGAUAAAAUACAAUUCAGAAGGCAAAAGUAGUAAGAAUAAAGGCAAAGAGUUACAAAAUAGCCUGACAUCUUCAAAAAACUGGGGUGUAGAAUGCAUGUGGGGAGAAAUAGUAAAUCAGUUAGAGAAGGUGGUGGAAGGUAGACAAGAAAGAAAUCUUAUGCUAAGCGCUUUCGAAAUUCCUCACAAUCAAUAGGACGUCUGAUUCAAUGUUGAUAGAAAUAUUGGGUGAGCAUCGUUGUGUUGUUCUUCAAGGGGGAAACAUGCUGUCUUUCACUGGUAAGUGUAAUGGUUGGUAGUUGAAAUUUUUCAUCAAUGCCCUUUUUCAGGUUGAUAAGUUUCUAUUUCUACUGAGAUUUUUAUCAUGAAUGAAUGUAGAAUAUAGUAGAAUUUUUUGAGCGUAUCGAGAAGAUCAAUAACUUUUUUCUUUUUCAUCUGUCGAUAUAGUCUAUUACACUGAUUGAUUUUCAAAUGUGGAACCAAUCUUGUAUUCUGAGGAUAAAACCCACAUGGCUCUGGUGUAUAAUUCCUUUUAUGUUUUGCUGAAUUCAAUUUACUAAUAUUUUGCUAAGAGUUUAUCUGCCUAUGUUCAUGAGAGAAAUAUUGUUUUCAGUUUUCUUAUAAUGCCUUGGUACAGCUUUUAUAUUAGGACAAUGCUGGCCUCAUGAAAUAAGUUGGGAAGUAUACAUAUAUCUUCUAUUUUCUGGAAGAGUUCGAAUAAAAUAAGUAUUAAUUCUUCUUUAAAUGAUGGGAAGAAUUCAUCGAGGGAAUCACCUAGACUUGGAAUUCUCUGAUAUUUUUACCCAUAAAUUUAAUUUAUUCAACAGACAAAAUGUUAUUCUGCUCCUCUAUUUUUCUUUCUUGAGUGAGCACUGGCAGUUUGUGUUUUUAAGAGAUUUAUUCAUUUCAUCAAUACUUCCAAAUGUGUUGGCAUAACGUUGGUGGUAGUCUUUCCUCAUCCUGUUGUAGCACUUACUGUGAUGUCCCCUUUCUCUCUUCUGACAUUGGUCAUUUUUAAUUUCUUUUUUUUCUGUUUUCUUUGAAAGAGCCAUCUUGGAUUUUAGUGGUUUGUCUGUAUUUAUUUUUCUGUUUUAAUUAUUUUUCCAUGUUUUUUUUUUCUUCCAAUUGCUUUGUGUUUAAUUUGCCCUUAUUCUGUUUUCCUAGGGUGGAAGCUUAGUUCAUUGACUUCAAAAUUUAUUGUUUUUUUCAACUAUAAGUAUUUAAUGCUAAGAAUUUCUCUCUAAAUACUAAAUACUGCUUUACCUGUACCCCACAAAUAUUGGUAUGGUAUGUUUUUAUUUCCAUUUAAUUCAAAAUAAUUUCUAAUUACUUGGUGCUAUGGUCACUGGAGGUUGGUAAGAAUUUUUGUUCUCUGCCCCAGCCUCAGUACUAGAAAGAUUCCAUGUCUCUGGGCCUUAAAAGUAGGGCUUUCUCAGCAUUUCUGCUGCCACUUUAUUAGAGGUUGAAUUGUGUCCCGCUCAGAAUUGGUACUGGUAACCCCUAGCAUCGCAGAAUGAAACCUUAAUUGGAAAUAAGGUCAUUGCAGAUGUAAUUAGUUGAGAAGAGGCUAUUAGGGUGGGCCCUAAUUCAAUGUAACUGAUACUCUUAUCCUCCUAUCAGAAGUAUUUGUUUUUUGCCUGGGUCCCUGUGGCUUGAGUGUUUCCUGUACUCUCCCAAAAACCAACAGUUUGAGAAGGGUGCCUUGUAUGACAGAAGAGGCCUGGGCAGUGGGCGAGGCUUUAUGCCCCACCCCAGCAGCAGCUGAUUUCCACCCGCUCACCUGCACCACUGAGGGGGAACUCUCUUCAGUCUCCUGCCCUGCCUGCAAUCCCUUCAUCUUUCAUAGGAGCUUUAUUUUUUAGGUGGGGCUUGUGAAAAAGAGCUUGCCAGUGCCUAUAAACUUCUUCAUGUGAGAGUUUCCAGUCUUUCUUAACUGAUAUGAUAACCCACAUUCAGCCUUUAAGAAUUAUUUUAACAUUUGAGCAGAUUUCUUUCUUAUCUGAGUCUAUGGCACCAGCCACUUCCUCCCAUGUUCCAUCAAAGGUAAGGAGUUUGUUUGUCCGUCUUCGCUCCUCAGAGGAGCUGACCCUUUGGAAUUCUGCCCAUUUUGUUGCUUUCAAAUCUCAGGUCCCGGUGGGCUCAAGAAAAGCAAUCAUUUUGUGCAUGAUCUGGCUUCUAUCUUAUUGUUGAGGUGGAAACAAUGGUAAUAUGGGUGUGUGUAUUUCUACCUUCUAGGUAGAAAUUGAACAAAAGCAUUCUUUGCUAUUAUACCUGGGUUGUUCUUCACUGUUCCCUGGGAAUCUGUUACGGAAAUUAUGCUGAGCUAAUAAUUCUGAUGGGAUGAUCUUCACUCAUGCAGACUGUGGCGUCAUGUAGAAGGAAGGCUAAUAUGGAUGUGAGGUUCAAGAUCAAGAUGGGCAACUGAUGGUCAGACUCCAGUGGUUCUUCAAAACUUUCUAGGAGGUAAACAAGAUGAAAGGGAAAGCACACAAAUUUGCUGGAAUUUGGAAAACACGAACCCUGGAAUUUGGAGGAGUCACUUCCACUGGAAAAUACUUUUAUAUUAUUUAUAGUGGCUACCAUUACCGUGCUCACUUUACAGGUGAGGUUCAGAGAUUUAUGUAACAUGCCAAAGGUCACACAGCUGGACACAGCAGAACCAAGAUUCAAAUCUGCACAGCUGAGUGUUCUACAUGUUUAUGUCGUAUGGCCCCUGAAAGAAUUCGUAUUUGAAGCUCUGGGUAAGUGGUUAGGAAAGGACC
rnacentral:lncRNA from 1 species